rnacentral:rRNA from 1 species
AUUGAACGCUGGCGGAAUGCUUUACACAUGCAAGCCGAACGGCAGCACGGACUUCGGUCUGGUGGCGAGUGGCGAACGGGUGAGUAAUGUAUCGGAACGUGCCCAGUCGUGGGGGAUAACGUAGUGAAAAUUACGCUAAUACCGCAUACGAUCUAUGGAUGAAAGCGGGGGAUCGCAAGACCUCGCGCGAUUGGAGCGGCCGAUAUCAGAUUAGGUAGUUGGUGGGGUAAAGGCCCACCAAGCCAACGACCUGUAGCUGGUCUGAGAGGACGACCAGCCACACUGGAACUGAGACACGGUCCAGACUCCUACGGGAGGCAGCAGUGGGGAAUUUUGGACAAUGGGCGAAAGCCUGAUCCAGCCAUUCCGCGUGCAGGAUGAAGGCCCUCGGGUUGUAAACUGCUUUUGUACAGAACGAAAAGGUUUCUACUAAUACUAGGAGCUCAUGACGGUACUGUAAGAAUAAGCACCGGCUAACUACGUGCCAGCAGCCGCGGUAA